GGCAGGGCUGUUUGCCGACCUCCAACGGACCAAGCGUGCUUCAAUUGUGGUCAGUAUGGACACUGGGAUUGCCAAUGUACUGUUUACCCAAUGAUUCAACAAUGACCUCCAGUGGAACCCGGAGAGGCCACACCUCAAAGAGGAGGCUACAAAGCUUCACGAGGGAGAGGUGGGCGCGUCCCGGCAACAGCAUCCGCAGCAGGCUCCACAGCAACAAGAGCCAUCUCGCCAGUACUACUGCGAUGAGGCCUGGUCCGAAUGCCCAAUGAGCCCGGAGCCAGGGGACGGAGGAAAGACAGAGCCUCUGAACCCCGCUAAGGGAAGACAACCACCUGAAUGAGCUGUGCAGGGGUGCCCAUGAGUGUGCCGAUUACGAUACCAUUAAAGACUGAAAUUGCUGGACAGACGCAUGAACAUCAGUUUGUCCUCAUGAAAAGAGGGGCUCCAGUGAACCUGAUGGGCAGAGAUCUGCUUAUCAAGACCAGGGCUACCAUCCUUUGUAGCCCAGAUGGACUGACGAUACGGGUCCCCGAUGGGACCAUGAUGAACUGUGGAAGAAGUUAUCCUCCAGAUGGAACAUGAUACAACAUGAACUUCCGGAAGCAACUGCUGACAUAUAUUGGGCCCGACUAAAACCUGAAACAAAGGAGGGAGGCGGCGUUUACUCGGCCUUCCUGCGGUGGAAGGCCUGGAUCGACUCUCUUGCCCCCUAUCGUCCUUCAAUUGAUCCUCUCCAUCUCACACUGUUUUAUGAUAAAAAUGACGAUUUGGUUUACAGAGAAGCUUUUGAGCCAAUCCAGGGGGAAAAUGGGAUGCUCAAUAAGUAAAAGUAUUUACAUAGGGAAGCAAGGUGUGGCAGCGGCCUCCACCUUGACGCCAGAGCAGAGUGAGUGGUUUAUGAUGAGUUUGACAUCUUUUCCACACUUUUUCACUUGCACUAGGUCAUAAAGCUUGAGAACUGGGACCCAUGGUGAGAAAAUGCCAUUUGGCAAAUGAUUGGCAACAAGAUCAAAUACCCAAUGUGUUGUACUCUUCCAGUACUGAAUGUUUUUGUAUUCAAGGUACCAUGGUGGACGGAGGGGUGUUGGAGCAUGUGACUUUAGCGCGAUUCCAUGGCAGAGAACUCUCGGACCAUGAGGACGCCGCACAGCUGUUGAGCUCGCUGCCGGACUCAUUGUGGUCCGAGGGUCCUGCAGACGGGGGUCUAUGUACAUCCGUGACUCCGGUAACAUUCGAGGUAAACCCGACUGCUUUUGUUAACGUGCCGUAGUAUCCUUGUAAACAAGAGGCCAUAGAAGAUAUCGCGGAAACCCAAAUUCUGAAAUCCCAAUGCUUUGGUCCAUAAAUGAUGUUAUGAAACCCUCCGCUCAAGCUGCAGAACCGCUGGCCAUUUGCAGGGCACUGGAGAUAUCUGAAAGUCAAGAGUGUUACUCUUUAUUAAUGGUGCUGAUGCUGCAGCAGAAAAAAGUAGCAGGCUAAUAAAUGGAUAGAUGCUUAGAGAGCACUUGAGGUGAGAGAUGAUUGUGAGAAGCACAUUAACGCAUACGAUGGCUUUAAACUUGUUUAUGCCUAGAAGAGGAGUAAUGAAAAAUGUGUUAACUUGUGUGUCAGAGGGAAUUAUUUUGGCUUAUUUACGGAAUGGCACACAAGGAAGUGGUAGGAUGGUUGUAAUUGUGAAUAUACCGGGAGGCUGUGAUUUUUGUAAGUGGAUAUACAUAGAAGUUCCUGUUUGGGCAAACCAAAUUAAGAAAAUUAUGCGAGGUACACCAGUCUACUAAAGACAUCCGUACAAUAUUUAGUUGAUACAGUAUAGUAACUAUUAAUACAGCAUAGCGAAUGCAACUCUUUUCAUUCACAGAAGUGAAGGAUGGGCCAGAGGUAUAAGGUUGUGUUGCUACUUAUGGUACAUACGAUAUGAGACUGUGCCUCAUUUGCAUUGUGUGCCAGGGAAAUUAUGAGGAGUACAUUUCUUUGAGAAUGACUAUGUUAUUUGGUAUGAAGAUUAAUCUGUUUGAUUGUCUCCCCAGAUUCAGCACUAGAGCAGGGAAGACAAAGAGGAUUUUUCCAUCUUUCUGGCAAGCCAAUUUUGAGGAGGGUUAUAUAGUUGCAUUCUGUCUUCUAAAUCAGGUCGAUUACAACACUUUGUGGACAAGCGGAGAGCUACUUUUUGAGCUAAAGGGACAAAUUUAUCAGGGAUAGUAUUCUUAGAUUGCUAAAAAUAAGAUAACAUUGUUGCCUCAGUUAUUGGUGACUGGUUCCUUACAGCGGUUGGGGAGGCUUGGUCAAGGCAUUGAUCAUGUGAGACAUAAAGUAAUAAUACACAAAAGGGGUAAUCGGGAAGCACCAUAUAUAGAUUAAUAAAUACAAGUUAAGGUUGAUUGCUGGGAAGUUCUGCGAGGCCCUGCGCCCUAAAAUAGCCGGGAACUUGCACUAAAAUGUUAAAUGACCGGACAUCGGCAUCCCAGCUAGGGGGCCCGUUUUACAACUGGUGCGUGGGCGAAGUUUACGAUAGGCAGGGCUUACGUCUGAGGAUAAGAGACAGAAGUCAGGAGGGUUGCAACUCAGAGACAACUGUAAAUAGGAAGAAAAGAACAAAGGGUAGUUAGACUUAAAAAUCUUCCACUGACUUAAUUGAACAAGCUAGAAAGUAAGCGGAUAUAAACCAAGCUAUGACAGAAAACGCCGUUUACUGAACAGGUGACUAUGGGAGGCUCGGUCGUGCUAGCGUGACCUUAUUGACAAGUGAGAACCCAGUGUGUCCCCUCUCAUAUGCUGUUAGAGCCGCGGGUCGGUCGCCGGUUUCGGCUGUUCAGUUUAUCCACAAUAACAAAGACAUAAGCAAUGCCGUGAAGCAAGCAAGGGGGGCGCCACUGUUAUUAUUUGUGACGAGAGACUGAGAAAGACUCUUCAACCUGACGAUUGCAUCUAUAUGAAGGAUGUUUCUCAUGACAGAAAGAGAGCCAAGGAAAGGACUUGGUGGUGGAGACGGCAAAAAGCUGGAAAGACAAAGAGCAGCUGAAUGGUCCUGUGUCUCCACGUUUACCAAGCGAAUUGGAACAAUAUGAUGAAAAGUCUGUUUCAGUGGGGGACAAAGUGGACACAUUUCAAAGCCAUCAAUGAUGCUGAGGGACGAAGGUCGGAGUCGGUCGGUGAUCAGUGGCUCGUCGGAAGAUGGUGGGGACACACUUGAGGAAUUAUGGAGUCCACCCCCUUGGCAGGAGCAUCUUUUGCAGAGCCUCUAGGAACUUUGCUGUGCUGACUCCCACCAGUAACAUCUACUGCCGGCGGACCUGAGACAGCUGUCGAAGAAGGGUGCCCAGGUAAAGUGGACACAUUGAUUCGUAAUGUAUCCGAACGGGAGGUUAGUAUUCCAAUUCUGAACUUUGAUUCAACACUAUACUGUUAUUGGAGGUUGCUAGUUUAUGCAGGUUCAUCACAGGAAGUUGGAUGGAGGAGAGCUUAGGAAGAUAUGGUGCAUGCAUGACUGGUGGGAUACAGAGUAUGACCAAUAUCGGAAUGUCUAAUGCAAUACUGUCGAGGGAGUUCACAUGAUAUGGUAGUAAGUACCUUAGCGUGACACUGACGGUGAGUAUGAUAUGAUUGAGGGGUAAUGAGUAAUACGAACCAUCUAUUGACACCCCUCCAGAGGUUAUGAUUCGUCAAGUGGCAGAUAUAUGGGUUUUGGCAUGAACAAUAAAUAUAGAGUAACUAUGGUAUAAUGAGAUAUUACAGUCUGGGGGCUAAUAUGGACUUGAUGACGCAAUCGGUUACGAACUAGGGUCUCUACGAGGUACGGAACUAAAAGGGGAAUGAUGUGAAAAUUAACGCAAAUUUAAAUUACAGGACGACUGAGGGGUAAGAUAUUGCAAGCCGCUGCGGGUGGUUAGGGGUGCGUGCCAAGAAUCCACCGAAUUGGGGAGGAAUCAGGAGGGUCUCAUAGGGGCACCCCCAUCCCUUUUUGGGUCAGUUAAGUCAGGAGGCGCAUGGGCUAGCCCAUGACGCAAGGGGGGUGUAAAGCGGAAAAUUAGGAAAGAAUAGGGGUUUGGGCACCUGUUAAAUAAAUUGUAGAAAUUAUCAUAGUUUAGCUUAGCUUGCAUUAAUAUUAUGGACAAUUUUGAUGGAAAGAAUUGCGCAACAAAGAAGUCUGCAGAAGAAUAAACCUAGGGUAAUACUAGUCAAAGGGACGACGGAGUCUUGUACGUACUUAAAUUUCGUGUUUCCGUGACUUUGUAAAAACGUUAUUAGUAUCGUGUGAAUGUGUAGAAGUGUGAAUGUAUAAGACAGGAUUGCAAAUUACAACUGGGUUUGGAAGCAGGUGCAAGAAUCCUCCGUCCCGUGGGGGUAAAAGUUUGAAGGUUACCAAGCCCCAGACAUUCAUUGUCACCCUGUCAUUUUGAAUAGUCAGUAUUAAGGUCACUCUAGGUGCAAAUAAAUUGACUUCCAAAUUCACAAAAUAAGGAAAAAUAACAGUAAACCGGAUUCAAGAGAACGCUUCACGUGUAAAGACUGGAAAUAUGUUCAACUCCAAACCCCUUACAAAAUGAAACAUUUAAACACAUGGAUAACCAAAUACGAUGUCGAGAGCCAGCUAAAUUUGAAAAAUUGGUUCAACGUCGAGACGAAAUAAAAGUCCACAUAAAAAUAAUAGAAAAAUGGAUAAAAGAGGGAUAUGACGACAUUGUUGUCUGGCUAAACAUGGUGUCUAAAAUAGAAAAAGGAAGUAAAGAAACGAAGGACUUAGAAAAUGGACGGAAAAGGCCUUCAGGGACAUAAAAAACAUUUGUUGUCCAGGAAAGUGCUGGCCCUUCCAAAGUAUGAUAAAACAUUCAUUCAAAUGGUAGAGUGGAAAAGCUAUUACAAGACCUCCGUACUUACGCAACAAUGAGGUGAUAAACUAAGACCAAGAGCUUAUUUUUCGACUGAAAUAGACAGCGUGAUGUGAUAAUGGGCGGCAUGGUGGCCGACUGGUUAGAGCGUCAGCCUCACAGUUCUGAGGACCGGGGUUCAAUCCCCGGCCCCGCCUGUGUGGAGUUUGCAUGUUCUCCCCGUGCCUCCGUGGCUUUUCUCCGGGCACUCCGGUUUCUUCCCACAUCCCAAAAACAUGCAUUAAUUGGAGACUCUAAAUUGCCCGUAGGUGUGACUGUGAGUGCGACUGGUUGUUUGUUUGUAUGUGCCCUGCGAUUGGCUUGCAACCAGUUCAGGGUGUACCCCGCCUCCUGCCCGAUGACAGCUGGGAUAGACUCCACUACGCCUGCGACCCGCGUGAGGAGAAGCGACUCAGAAGAUGAAUGGAUGGAUGGACUUGGUGAAGGAAGUUAGGUCAUUUUCUUGGCUCAGAUUCCUUCAUGCAAGGGUGUUACAAAACAAAUUAAUAUCCAGCGAUGGUAAGCGUCGGAGUCAUGUCCGCAGGGGUUUGGAGGCAUACAGCGAUGCAAGGGGGGUAUUAUCACUUACGGAUUAAGCAACGGCCACUACCAUGCCUGCCUCAGAUGUGUAGAACUGACUGCCCUCCAUAUAUUGUACUGUUAGAUAUCCAUUUGAAAAUGGGUUGGAUUAAGUUUGAUUUUGUUGCAAAAUACUGGCAGAUGUUUUUGUUCUUCCAGGGGUGGUCUGGAGCUGUUCAGGGUCCCGUGUGUAUAAACCUGAACUCUGGGACUAAUUCAUGGUGGACAGCGGCCCGGGCCUGCAGGGGUUACAGUUUCUUCAUCAAUGACACGAGCUGUAGACCAUAUGGAGGGAGACCACCUUUAAGAUUUUUAUUUUUAUUUCGUGUGUAUUUUGAUAUGUGUGCUUCCACAGUUCUUUUUUGUGUUUUACGCUGUUUUUUGUUCAUUUAUUUCAAUGUUUGUAUUAUUCUGUUGUGUAUGGUUCGCCAUCCGAGUCAGGGCCCCUUUGGGUGUUUUGAUGUACGGGGCUCUGAAGGACACGUGACACGACUCUCGCUCUUUUCCUCGUCUCGUUUUGAGAAAGGUUUUUCGACCAAGAGCCGCGAAACCUUGACGCUUCCGCGAGGCUGCGCGUACAAAUUGAUAAAUUUGGGAUUGGCUCCGUUUCAAUAUCGGGGAGGAGAUUUGGUUUGUUUGGCUGUUUGGUACGCACGUGUGACCUCGGGGGGGCGAAGAGGAGACGCAGGGAGUGAUUCGGCCUUAUUAGAAUAAUUAUUUUUCCUAGUAAAUGGUUAACCAUAAGUAAAUGCCUUGGAGCAUGAUAGAUUUUCUUGACCAAGUAGAUUCUUUCAAAUUGUAGAUAAUUAGUUAACUUUUUGGGCUAACGCUGGUUUGUUGGUUCUGGCCAGGUGUCAUUUGGUAACUCUAGGUUUGUAAUGAGUUUGGGGAUCUCAUUAAAGGGGGGUUAUGUAGUAUAUUUUCAUAGUAAUACAAUCAGAGUUCCUUUGGGAAGGACAAAUGUUUGGAGACCUGUGUUCCCACCAACUGUCUUUUCUUUGUACUUCUACAUCAAAGAACAUCCUUUAACCAGUUAUAUGUUGAUUGGGGGGUCUUGCAUCCCCCUGACAGAAACCUGUCGGGGGUUUACAACCGGUCCUGGUCUUCAAAGAGGACUGUUUGGCAUUAUCGUAACAAAGGACCCCCGGGGGUAAGAUUGACCAGACUGAGAGACGACAGCAGACGAGUAGUGGUAUUUCACACCCCCAAAGAGACACCAGCUGGCAGGUACGAUUCCAAAUAUGGUCAUGAGGAGCAGCAUCUUUCCGGAUGCAACGAGGGAGGGGGCUAAUUCCACGCCCAGAGAAUUAGAACCUUGAUAAACUGAGAUCCCAGGUUUUUCGGGGGCUUUUUCGUCGUUCUGACAAUGCAGCAGCUGCUAUGACACUAAGGCCUGUUCAAUAAAUCGAAUUAGCCCAAAUGCCAAGUGUCUCGAAAUCUUCAUUCACCCCAUGCCAGACGGAAGUCGGAGUCCUCCCGGGAGACCACCGACUCGGAAGCACAGGUGCACGAAAAUUAACCACA